rnacentral:rRNA from 1 species
GGUGAACGCUGGCGGCAGGCCUAACACAUGCAAGUCGAACGGCAGCACAGAGGAGCUUGCUCCUUGGGUGGCGAGUGGCGGACGGGUGAGGAAUACAUCGGAAUCUGCCCAGUCGUGGGGGAUAACAUAGGGAAACUUAUGCUAAUACCGCAUACGACCUACGGGUGAAAGCGGGGGAUCGCAAGACCUCGCGCGAUUGGAUGAGCCGAUGUCCGAUUAGCUAGUUGGCGGGUAAUGGCCCACCAAGGCGACGAUCGGUAGCUGGUCUGAGAGGAUGAUCAGCCACACUGGAACUGAGACACGGUCCAGACUCCUACGGGAGGCAGCAGUGGGGAAUAUUGGACAAUGGGCGCAAGCCUGAUCCAGCCAUGCCGCGUGGGUGAAGAAGGCC